rnacentral:rRNA from 1 species
GACGGGGGAUGCAAGUGUUAUCCGGAAUCACUGGGCGUAAAGCGUCUGUAGGUGGUCAAAUAAGUCAACUGUUAAAUCUUGAGGCUCAACCUCAAAAUCGCAGUCGAAACUAUUAGACUAGAGUAUAGUAGGGGUAAAGGGAAUUUCCAGUGGAGCGGUGAAAUGCGUAGAUAUUGGAAAGAACACCGAUGGCGAAGGCACUUUACUGGGCUAUUACUAACACUCAGGGACGAAAGCUAGGGUAGCAAAUGGG